UACGGGGGGAGCAAGCGUUGUUCGGAUUUACUGGGCGUAAAGGGCGCGUAGGCGGCCACCGCAAGUCAGUUGUGAAAGCUCUGGGCUUAACCCAGAAAGGUCAGCUGAUACUGCGGGGCUAGAGUGCAGAAGGGGCAACUGGAAUUCUCGGUGUAGCGGUGAAAUGCGUAGAUAUCGAGAGGAACACCUGCGGCGAAGGCGGGUUGCUGGGCUGACACGUGACGCUGACAGCGCGAAAGCUAGGGGAGCGAACGGG
rnacentral:rRNA from 1 species